rnacentral:rRNA from 1 species
UGAACGCUGGCGGCGUGCCUCAUACAUGCACGUCGAGCGAACGGACGAGAAGCUUGCUUCUCUGAUGUUAGCGGCGGACGGGUGAGUAACACGUGGAUAACCUACCUAUAAGACUGGGAUAACUUCGGGAAACCGGAGCUAAUACCGGAUGAUAUUUUGAACCGCAUGGUUCAAAAGUGAAAGACGGUCUUGCUGUCACUUAUAGAUGGAUCCGCGCUGCAUUAGCUAGUUGGUAAGGUAACGGCUUACCAAGGCAACGAUGCAUAGCCGACCUGAGAGGGUGAUCGGCCACACUGGAACUGAGACACGGUCCAGACUCCUACGGGAGGCAGCAGUAGGGAAUCUUCCGCAAUGGGCGAAGGCCUGACGGAGCAACGCCGCGUGAGUGAUGAAGGUCUUCGGAUCGUAAAACUCUGUUAUUAGGGAAGAACAUAUGUGUAAGUAACUGUGCACAUCUUGACGGUACCUAAUCAGAAAGCCACGGCUAACUACGUG